rnacentral:rRNA from 1 species
AAGCGACCCCAGGUCAGGCGGGAACACCCGCUGAGUUU